GCGUCCAUGGUGCAGUGGUUUAGCAUUUCAGACCCCCAUCCACCCUCUUCGCUGAGGACGGAGAUGAUGGGAGUAUCUGAGGACUUUGGUUCGAAUCCGAAUGGUCGCG